rnacentral:rRNA from 1 species
AGAUUAAGUUAUUAAGGGCGCACGGUGGAUGCCUUGGCACUAGAAGCCGAUGAAGGACGUUACUAACGACGAUAUGCUUUGGGGAGCUGUAAGUAAGCUUUGAUCCAGAGAUUUCCGAAUGGGGAAACCCAGCAUGAGUUAUGUCAUGUUAUCGAUAUGUGAAUACAUAGCAUAUCAGAAGGCACACCCGGAGAACUGAAACAUCUUAGUACCCGGAGGAAGAGAAAGAAAAUUCGAUUCCCUUAGUAGCGGCGAGCGAAACGGGAAGAGCCCAAACCAACAAGCUUGCUUGUUGGGGUUGUAGGACACUCUAUACGGAGUUACAAAGGACGACAUUAGACGAAUCAUCUGGAAAGAUGAAUCAAAGAAGGUAAUAAUCCUGUAGUCGAAAAUGUUAUCUCUCUUGAGUGGAUCCUGAGUACGACGGAGCACGUGAAAUUCCGUCGGAAUCUGGGAGGACCAUCUCCUAAGGCUAAAUACUCUCUAGUGACCGAUAGUGAACCAGUACCGUGAGGGAAAGGUGAAAAGCACCCCGGAAGGGGAGUGAAAUAGAACCUGAAACCGUGUGCUUACAAGUAGUCAGAGCCCGUUAAUGGGUGAUGGCGUGCCUUUUGUAGAAUGAACCGGCGAGUUACGAUUUGAUGCAAGGUUAAGCAGUAAAUGUGGAGCCGUAGCGAAAGCGAGUCUGAAUAGGGCGUUUAGUAUUUGGUCGUAGACCCGAAACCAGGUGAUCUACCCUUGGUCAGGUUGAAGUUCAGGUAACACUGAAUGGAGGACCGAACCGACUUACGUUGAAAAGUGAGCGGAUGAACUGAGGGUAGCGGAGAAAUUCCAAUCGAACCUGG